rnacentral:rRNA from 1 species
AACGAACGCUGGCGGCGUGCCUAACACAUGCAAGUCGAGCGGAGUUAAGGGGCUUGCCCUUUAACUCAGCGGCGCACGGGUGAGUAACACGUGGAUAAUCUACCCAUCAAUUCGGGAUAACAGUUGGAAACGACUGCUAAUACCGGAUACGAUCUUCUUAAACGAAAGGUGAAAGGGGGCCUCUGCAUAUGCUCUCGUUGAUGGAUGAGUCCGCGUCUCAUUAGGUAGUUGGUAGGGUAACGGCCUACCAAGCCGACGAUGAGUAGCCGGCCUGAGAGGGUAAUCGGCCACACUGGGACUGGAACACGGCCCAGACUCCUACGGGAGGCAGCAGUGGGGAAUAUUGCGCAAUGGGCGAAAGCCUGACGCAGCGACGCCGCGUGAGGGAUGAAGGCCUUCGGGUCGUAAACCUCUGUCAGGAGGGAAGAACGGCGCAGGUGCUAAUCAGCCUGCGAUUGACGGUACCUCCAAAGGAAGCACCGGCUAACUCCGUGCCAGCAGCCGCCGUAAGAC